UUUCCGUAGGUGAACCUGCGGAAGGAUCAUUAAAGUUAUAGUCCCCUGGCCCUCUGGGCUGGGGUCUUCUAUACCACCCUUUGUUUAUUACACCUUUGUUGCUUUGGCAGGCCUGCCCUCGGGCUGCUGGCUCCGGCCGGCUCGCGACUGCCAGAGGACCUAAACUCUGUUUGUAUAUGAAGUCUGAGUACUAUAUAAUAGUUAAAACUUUCAACAACGGAUCUCUUGGCUCUG
rnacentral:misc_RNA from 1 species